GUGAGUUUCUUUUACAUCAAGAAGUUGUGGCUUCUCGAUAUGAAAGUAAGCUUACAG
rnacentral:pre_miRNA from 1 species